AGGGAUCAAGGAAGAAAGCUCGAGUCGUUCCGGGUCACAAACAAACAACAACAAAGGUAAAGCGACUUGUUAAAUGGCGUUACUUGGAUCGAACACACUCAUGAUGCACGCUUCCGCAAGGAUAUUAGUUUGGGUUAAGUCUUUUGUUAAAUAUACUUUUUGUUAAAACGGGUCUUUUUGUAAGUAACAUAACUUGGUUGUUGUUAGUUGUCGAACUCGUAGUUGAAGACUAUGUUAGUUGUUUACGAAAUGUUGGGUUGUAAGCUAUUUUAAUAACCCCUAGUUAGUUAUGCCAUGGUUAAAUGCAGAAUUUUUACUUAUGAAUUAUUUGACCCGUUUGGUA